rnacentral:rRNA from 1 species
AGAACUUUCCAGAGAUGGAUUGGUGCCUUCGGGAACUCUGAGACAGGUGCUGCAUGGCUGUCGUCAGCUCGUGUUGUGAAAUGUUGGGUUAAGUCCCGCAACGAGCGCAACCCUUAUCCUUUGUUGCCAGCGGUCCGGCCGGGAACUCAAAGGAGACUGCCAGUGAUAAGCUGGAGGAAGGUGGGGAUGACGUCAAGUCAUCAUGGCCCUUACGAGUAGGGCUACACACGUGCUACAAUGGCGCAUACAAAGAGAAGCGACCUCGCGAGAGCAAGCGGACCUCAUAAAGUGCGUCGUAGUCCGGAUUGGAGUCUGCAACUCGACUCCAUGAAGUCGGAAUCGCUAGUAAUCGUGGAUCAGAAUGCCACGGUGAAUACGUUCCCGGGCCUUGUACACACCGCCCGUCACACCAUGGGAGUGGGUUGCAAAAGAAGUAGGUAGCUUAACCUUCGGGAGGGCGCUUACCACUUUGUGAUUCAUGACUGGGGUGAAGUCGUAACAAGGUAGGCGUAGUGCU